rnacentral:rRNA from 1 species
GACAGAGGGUGCAAACGUUUGUUCGGAAUUACUGGGCGUAAAGCGCGUGUAGGCUGCCCCGAAAGUCAGGUGUGAAAGCCCUGGGCUCAACCCAGGAAGUGCACUUGAAACUUCGGUGGCUUGAGUUCUGGAGAGGAUGGCGGAAUUCCCGGUGUAGAGGUGAAAUUCGUAGAUAUCGGGAGGAACACCAGUGGCGAAGGCGGCGACCUGGGCAGAUACUGACACUGAGGUGCGAAAGCGUGGGGAGCAAACAGG